UGCGUAGACGGUUAUUUAAGUCGGAUGUGAAAGCCCCGGGCUCAACCUGGGAAUUGCAUUCGAGACUGAAUAGCUAGGGUACGGUAGAGGGAAGCGGAAUUUCCGGUGUAGCGGUGAAAUGCGUAGAUAUCGGAAGGAACAUCAGUGGCGAAAGCGGCUUCCUGGACCAGUACCGACGUUCAGGCACGAAGGCGUGGGGAGAAACA
rnacentral:rRNA from 1 species